UGGGGGAUAUUGCACAAUGGGGGGAACCCUGAUGCAGCGACGCCGCGUGGGUGAAGAAGUAUUUCGGUAUGUAAAGCCCUAUCGGCAGGGAAGAAAUUGGACGGUACCUGACUAAGAAGCCCCGGCUAACUACGUGCCAGCAGCCGCGGUAAUACGUAGGGGGCAAGCGUUAUCCGGAUUCACUGGGUGUAAAGGGAGCGUAGACGGCCAUGCAAGCCUGGAGUGAAAGCCCGGGGCCCAACCCCGGGACUGCUCUGGGAACUGUGCGGCUGGAGUGCGGGAGGGGCAGGCGGAAUUCCUGGUGUAGCGGUGAAAUGCGUAGAUAUCAGGAGGAACACCGGCGGCGAAGGCGGCCUGCUGGACCGCGACUGACGUUGAGGCUCGAAAGCGUGGGGAGCAAACAGG
rnacentral:rRNA from 1 species